GCUAAACGCGAAGAACCUUACCUGGACUUGACAUCCCUAGACAGCCGUAGAGAUACGGUUUCCCCUUCGGGGGCUAGGAGACAGGUGCUGCAUGGCUGUCGUCAGCUCGUAUUGUGAGAUGUCGGGUUAAGUCCCUUAACGAGCGCAACCCUUAUCCCUAGUUGCCAUCAUUCAGUUGGGCACUCUAUGGAGACUGCCGGUGUUAAACCGGAGGAAGGCGGGGAUGACGUCAAGUCCUCAUGGCCUUUAUGUCCAGGGCUAUACACGUGCUACAAUGGCCGGUACAGAGGGUUGCCAACCCGCAAGGGGGAGCUAAUCUCAGAAAGCCGGUCUCAGCUCGGAUUGAAGUCUGCAACUCGACUUCAUGAAGCUGGAAUCGCUAGUAAUCGCGGAUCAGCACGCCGCGGUGAAUACGUUCCCGGGUCUUGUACACACC
rnacentral:rRNA from 1 species